AGUUUUUAGCUCCCGGGUUUGGGGACACUACACUUAUCUUGGGGAUCAGUCAGCGACGUGGGGGACUCCAGCUCCUCAAGUCUCCGAGAUCUACCGGACAGG